rnacentral:rRNA from 1 species
AUUGAACGCUGGCGGCAUGCCUUACACAUGCAAGUCGAACGGCAGCACGGGUGCUUGCACCUGGUGGCGAGUGGCGAACGGGUGAGUAAUACAUCGGAACAUGUCCUGUAGUGGGGGAUAGCCCGGCGAAAGCCGGAUUAAUACCGCAUACGAUCUACGGAUGAAAGCGGGGGACCUUCGGGCCUCGCGCUAUAGGGUUGGCCGAUGGCUGAUUAGCUAGUUGGGGGGGUAAAGGCCUACCAAGGCGACGAUCAGUAGCUGGUCUGAGAGGACGACCAGCCACCCUGGGACUUAGACACGGCCCAGACUCCUACGGGAGGCAGCAGUGGGGAAUUUUGGACAAUGGGCGAAAGCCUGAUCCAGCAAUGCCGCGUGUGUGAAGAAGGCCUUCGGGUUGUAAAGCACUUUUGUCCGGAAAGAAAUCCUUGGCCCUAAUACGGUCGGGGGAUGACGGUACCGGAAGAAUAAGCACCGGCUAACUACGUG